GGCUGGUCCGAGAGGAUGAUCAGCCACACUGGGACUGAGACACGGCCCAGACUCCUACGGGAGGCAGCAGUGGGGAAUUUUCCGCAAUGGGCGAAAGCCUGACGGAGCAAUGCCGCGUGGAGGUGGAAGGCCUACGGGUCGUCAACUUCUUUUCUCGGAGAAGAAACAAUGACGGUAUCUGAGGAAUAAGCAUCAGCUAA
rnacentral:rRNA from 1 species